rnacentral:rRNA from 1 species
UACGAAGGGGGCAAGCGUUGUUCGGAAUGACUGGGCGUAAAGGGCGCGUAGGCGGAUGGCACAGUCAGAUGUGAAAUUCCCGGGCUUAACCUGGGGGCUGCAUUUGAUACGUGUUGUCUUGAGUUCGGAAGAGGGUCGUGGAAUUCCUGGUGUAGCGGUGAAAUGCGCAGAUAUCAGGAAGAACACCCGUGGCGAAGGCGGCUCUCUGGUACGUGACUGACGCUGAGACGCGAAAGCGUGGGGAGCGAACAGG